CCUACGGGAGGCAGCAGUGAGGAAUAUUGGUCAAUGUGCGAGAGCCUGAACCAGCCAAGUCGCGUGAAGGAUGACGGCCCUAUGGGUUGUAAACUUCUUUUAUAUGGGAAUAAAAUGUUCAACGUGUGGGUUUUUGUAUUUACCAUAUGAAUCAGGAUCGCCUAAUUGCGUUCCAGAAGCCGCGGCACUAUGGACGGUAAGAGCGUUACCCGGAUUUAUUGGGUUGAAAGGGUGCACAGGUGGAUUGUUAAGUCAGUUGUGAAUGUAUUCGGCUCAACCUUAGAAUUGCAUUUGAAACUGGCAAUCUUGAGUAAAGUAGAGGUGGGUGGAAUUCGAGGUGUAGCGGUGAAAUGCGUAGAUAUCUCGAAGAACUCCGAUUGCGAAGGCAGCUCACUGGACUGCAACUGACGCUGAGGCGCGAAAGUGUGGGUAUCAAACAGGAUUAGAUACCCUUGUAGUC
rnacentral:rRNA from 1 species